rnacentral:tRNA from 1 species
CGGGCUGUAGCGCAGCUUGGUAGCGCGCUUGACUGGGGGUCAAGAGGUCGACGGUUCGAAUCCGUCCAGCCCGA